GACAGAGGCCCCAAGCGUUAGGCGGAAUCACUGGGCUUAAAGCGUGUGUAGGCGGACGCCUAAGUGUCUUGUGAAAUCCCACGGCUCACCCGUGGAACUGCUGGGCAUACUGGGCGUCUUGGGCCAACUAGGGGCAGCCGGAACAAGCGGUGGAGCGGUGAAAUGCGUAGAUAUCGCUUGGAACGCCGAAGGUGAAAACAGGUCGCUGGGGAUGUGCCGACGCUGAGACACGAAAGCCAGGGGAGCAAACGGG
rnacentral:rRNA from 1 species